AUUGAACGCUGGCGGCAUGAUUUACACAUGCAAGUCGAACGGUAACAGGCCGCAAGGUGCUGACGAGUGGCGAACGGGUGAGUAACGCAUCGGAACGUGCCCAGUCGUGGGGGAUAACUACUCGAAAGAGUAGCUAAUACCGCAUACGAUCUAUGGAUGAAAGCGGGGGACCGUAAGGCCUCGCGCGAUUGGAGCGGCCGAUGUCAGAUUAGGUAGUUGGUGGGGUAAAGGCUCACCAAGCCAACGAUCUGUAGCUGGUCUGAGAGGACGACCAGCCACACUGGGACUGAGACACGGCCCAGACUCCUACGGGAGGCAGCAGUGGGGAAUUUUGGACAAUGGGCGCAAGCCUGAUCCAGCAAUGCCGCGUGCAGGAAGAAGGCCUUCGGGUUGUAAACUGCUUUUGUACGGAACGAAACGGCUCUGGUUAAUACCCGGGGCUAAUGACGGUACCGUAAGAAUAAGCACCGGCUAACUACGUG
rnacentral:rRNA from 1 species